GAUGAACGCUGGCGGCGUGCCUAAUACAUGCAAGUCGAGCGAACAGAUAAGGAGCUUGCUCCUUUGACGUUAGCGGCGGACGGGUGAGUAACACGUGGGUAACCUACCUAUAAGACUGGAAUAACUCCGGGAAACCGGGGCUAAUGCCGGAUAACAUUUAGAACCGCAUGGUUCUAAAGUGAAAGAUGGUUUUGCUAUCACUUAUAGAUGGACCCGCGCCGUAUUAGCUAGUUGGUAAGGUAACGGCUUACCAAGGCAACGAUACGUAGCCGACCUGAGAGGGUGAUCGGCCACACGGGAACUGAGACACGGUCCAGACUCCGACGGGAAGCAGCAGUAGGGAAUCUUCCGCGAUGGGCGAAAGCCUGACGGAGCAACGCCGCGUGAGUGAUGAAGGACUUCGGAUCGGAAAACUCUGUUAUUAGGGAAGAACAAAUGUGUAAGUAACUGUGCACGUCUUGACGGUACCUAAUCAGAAAGCCACGGCUAACUACGUG
rnacentral:rRNA from 1 species